GACGAACGCUGGCGGCGUGCUUAACACAUGCAAGUCGAACGGUAAGGCCCUUCGGGGUACACGAGUGGCGAACGGGUGAGUAACACGUGGGUGAUCUGCCCUGCACUUCGGGAUAAGCCUGGGAAACUGGGUCUAAUACCGGAUAGGACCACUGCCUGCAUGGGUGGUGGUGGAAAGCUUUUGCGGUGUGGGAGGGGCCCGCGGCCGAUCGGCUUGUUGGUGGGGGGCUGGCCUACCAAGGCGACGACGGGUGGCCGGCCUGAGAGGGUGGCCGGCCACACUGGGACUCAGAUACGGCCCAGACUCCUACGGGAGGCAGCAGUAGGGAAUAUUGCACGAUGGGGGCAAGCCUGAUGCAGCGACGCCGCGUGAGGGAUGACGGCCUUCGGGUUGUAAACCUCUUUCAGCACCGACGAAGCGCAAGUGACGGUAGGUGCAGAAGAAGGACCGGCCAACUACGUGCCAGCCGCCGCCGUAA
rnacentral:rRNA from 1 species